GGCAUGCACCACCAUUCGUGGUUCAGAUGGUUUGGGGGAUGGACCCCAGGGCAUGCUAGGUAAGCUCCACCAAUCGAGCUGCAUCCCCGGCCCCUUGAGUCUUUCUUGUACGUACUUGUUUGUUUCAUUGGCCACCAAGUCCUGGGCAUCGGCUGGGUAUCAAACUGCUAGACAUUGGAUUCAGUCAUGGUGGAGGGGAGAACAGAGCUUGCCCUGAAGUCAGCACAUUAAUGAAGAGGAGUGGGGCGUGGGUGGAUAGGACAUCUCAGACAGGCAGCAUGAGGCAGGGUAGGCAAGAGCCACGGAAGAGCUGUGGCCGCAAAGCACGGCUCACUUCUGUAAGAUCCCAGCACCCCUCCUGGACUCUGCGAUCCAAAGAGCUCCCUGGUACUCCUUCCACACCUUCACAUCUUGGAGCCUCACAGACCAAAAUGAAUGGUGACAAGAGUUCCAAUCAUCACGCCCAUGUGACAGGUGGAAAAGGAAAAGAGAGAUAGGCAAUGUGGGGUCAAGGAAGUGGCUGGCUCCCAAAGAUGCUUGCCUUGCAGGAGCGAGGACUUGACUUCAAAUCCCAGAAUGCACUUUAAAAAAGGAAAGAAGAGAAAAAAAGAAAGAAAAGGAAAGGGAAGGGAAGAAAAGAAAAAAAAAACUGGGCAUAAUGGCAAAUGCUGAGUUCCUGCUCAGUGGAGAGAAAUCCCUGGGACUCCCUGAGAGCCUGCCUGGCUGAACCCGUUGGUGGGUCCAGGUCCAAAGGAACAACAAAAUGACAGAAGGCCCCUGAGGAAGGACACCCAAGAGUGUUUUCUGGUCUCCAUACACAUGCACCCACUCACCCAGGAACACACAAACAUGCACAUUCAAGGCUAAACACUAGAAUUGCAGCUAAGACCACAAGCCUUCACUCACUAACCAGCAAACCCAAGACAUUUACAGCUUCAGGGCAGCCAAGGCCAGGAUUGCCUUCCUCAUAGCUCCGCCUUCGUUUCUCCAGCUGUAAAUGGUAGCUGUCAGGACCGCCUGAGAGAUUUGAAGCAGCAGUGAACGUUGACUUCAGUGGAUAAUCAUAAAGCUCUGAGAAGUGACGUUGUUUCCCGAUGAUCUGAUUUAAGCAAUCCCAGAACUGUUACUCCCAGCCCUAGGCCAGGACCCAGACCUUGUUGCCUGGUCCUGAGGCUGUACAGCCCCGGGCGCCCCAGGCUUCCCAGCCUGUUCAGUUUGGCUUGCGGGUCACAGGGACCCGCCCUCGCCCUGGGAGGUGGCUCUGGGUUCAGCGGGCCCGGCAGGGUGGCUUUGUGCCUGUCUGAUUUUCAGUUCUCUAAAGAAAAAAACGCACAGCGGGGCCAUGACAUCACGACAGAGAAAAUACCUCAGCUCCUGGCCCCUGUGUGGGGACCUCAAACAAGGCGAUUUACUUUAUUUUGCAUAUUAAUUGUUCUAAAUGCCACCCGCUCUGGGAUCAAUUAAGCUCUCUAGUGCUGGGAGGAAAUCCGAGGCUGGCAGCGGCCAAGAGGUGGGCGCCCCCUCAAGGCCAUAGGUCAUCCAAGAUGCCUGCACCCUGCCACCACAAGGACACUGGGACAGGCCCCAGACAGGCCUGCCAACAUGUAGGAAGACUGAGCUGAAAAAUCUCUUUCUAUCCUCCACCUCUUUUUAGAAGAGUGACUUCCAUGUAGCCCAGGCUGGCCUCCAACUAUAUCUCACUUACCCUCCUUCCUUCACUCUCCCAGGUGCAGGGCAUGCCACCAGGUUUAUGAAGCUGGGAUAGAAUCCCAGGCUUUGUGCAUGCUGGCAAGCGCCCUACAAACUUAGCCACAUCCCCAGCCCUCAAACGGACAUCUUUUAUUUUUGAGACAGGCCUCAUGUAUUCCAUUCUGGCCUUGAACUUGCUUCUGGCUGAGGAUAACCCAGAACUUCAGAUUCCCCCGUUUCUGCCCCCCCAAGAGCUGGGACCCCAGCCGUGUACCUCCAUACCUGGUUUAUGCAGUGCUGAAAACACUACCUACCGAAAUACAUUUCCAGGCUGCCCUUGGGAUCAUCUCUUUCCAACUGCUGGACUCUGUCUCCUUUCCAGGUAGAAGCUUUACCUAGUUAAUCUCUUUGGCCACAGCUGCCUGGGCAGUUAACCUUCCUGACCCCCAUGGCUAGGUGUAGAGACCUGCUCCACCUCGUCUACCCCAGUCACGGGGGUUACAGGUCUACCUGCCUCCACAUUAGGUUUUUUCUGUUGCUGAGACUUGAACUUGACUCUCAUGCUUUCAUAGCCAAGUGCUCUUACCUACUGAGUUGUCUUCUCAGCCCCUAAGCAGUGUUUAAAGGGCAGGAUUUAGUUUAGUCUCCUCAGCUUCCCCCAUCCCCCCCAUCUUCAAAGGAUCCCCCUUUGCACUUCCUGUGACCUACAAAGGCCCUUGGGAUGCUGUGUUAGUCAAUUUUCUAUUGCUGUGAAGAGACACUGUGACCAAUGCAGCUUAGGUAUUUAUUGGGACUCACAGUUCCAGAAGGUUAGGAGCACAGCAGCAGGUGGGCAUGUGUAGUUCUGAGGGCAAUAGAUAAAUGCUAUCGGGUUCUACAAGCACAAGGCAGAGAGAGAGAGAGAGAGAGAGAGAGAGAGAGAGAGAGAGAGAGAGAGAGAAUUGGAAAUGGCACAAACUUAUGAAACCCCAAAGCCCACCCCCAGUGACAUACCUCUCCAACAAGGCCACACCUCCUAAUCCUUCCCAAACAGUUGUACUAACUGGGACCAACUAUUCAAACAUCUGAGCCCAUGAGGGUCAUUCUCAUCCAAACCACCACAAAUACCAUGGGAAACUGGACUAGGCAUGGCAGCAUAUGCCUUUAAUGCCAGUGCUCAAGAGGUGGAAAAGGUGGGUCUCUGGGAGGUCCCUUAGCCUGCUUAUCUAAUUCUAGGUCAGCCAGGGUCACACAGCAAGACUCUGCCUCCAAACAACAACAACAAACAAAACCAAACCCAACUCUCUCUCAGACUAGCAUCUUUAGGAGGAAACCUCAAGUGUGGGGAGAAGAGUUGGUAGAGUCAGGAAAGUUGCUGGCUGGUUCCUGGCUGCCUCGAGGCCUCUGGGGUUUGGUAUGCAAGACACACACAGAGUGGAGCCAGAGAGGUGGGCAGAUGGAGGCCAAGUCUCCAGAGGAGGCAUCUGGAUUUUCAGCAUGAGCAGAACUGCUCUGGCUUCCACAGCCACAGGCAAGCUACUCCCAUUUACAAGGGCAUGGGCGAGGUGUUUCCUUGGCUCCCUCUCCAGCAGCUCUUUGCCCACCCUGACAUGUGUUUGCCGCCAUCUGUCCAUAAGCCCAGAAUUCCUGCAGGCCACGUCACUCCUCCUGCACCCCCUGCCACAACCCCUUACCUGGGUAACACAAAGCUGUCCUCUUCCCAUGGCCUGAAGCUGCAGCCUCACCCCUGCCCCAGGACUCUGGGCUCCUGGCCACCACUCUCCUUCACCCUCCUGAAGACCUGGAGAACCUGGUGGGCCAGUCCUCAGGGCUCCAAAGGGCAAUGCUUCUAUUGGCUCUUCCCUGAAGGAAUAGGGAUCCAGAGCCACCAAAUUUUUAGACAUUUCAGAGAAGGCCUGAAUUCCAGAUUUUUUUUAUGUGAAAGUUCUCAGUUUCAAAAUAUUGGAUCAAAACCAAAAACUUCUUAACACUGGUAGAGCCAGAGAAGUUACAUGUGACGAAUGUGGUCCAAGCUCCGCUGAUGGUAACGGCAGCCAUGGGAUGGUGUCUGCUACUUGACCCGACCAACCAACCACCAUCUAGCACUUCACAGAUGGGCCACAGGAUAUGGCAAGUGCCUGCUGCUGAGCCUGGAGUGAGAAGAAAGGCCACCUAGAUGAAGGGCUGCCUGCCAUUGCCUCUGCUCUCCUCUGAUGGGCAGCCAAUUGUCCCAAUACUAAAUGUGGAGAAAUCCUGUUUCAAAUGCCAACUGGAUCAUAUGAUCGUGGGAGAUAAAGAGAAGAUUCCAGAAGCCUAGAGAAUCCGAAAAAGCCAUGUAGCAGAGGAUCAAGACUCAGGAUGGCACUGGGCUACUUCUCAUCAACCCAGAUUGCCACAUGCCAAUAAGAACUGCCUUCAGAAUGUGGAGUGGAGAUGAUUUCCAAACGAGAUUUAUACAGCCAGCCAAACUGUCAAUCAAGAAUCCAAAAACUGAACUUCCCAUAUGCAGUUUUCAAGGAAGCUACUGGCAUGUAUAUUAUAACUAAAAGAAGACAGCAAACCAAGCAGGAGGGUGGCUUCAGAUCCAAGCACCAAAGAAGAAGUGUGGGAGAGAGGUUAAAGGGUUUCCUGGGAUAAUGACGGAGAGAAAUUUCAGAAUCUCUACCAUGCGGGUAUCUAAGAAGGUCAGGGCAAGAAGAUGAAGGGUUUUAAGGAAACAAUACAAAAUCAAAAACCAAAAAACAGAAGUGCUAAGUUACCAGAUGAAUCUGAUCAUAUUGCUCGAGAUUUAAAAACUUUGUGGGCAUGUUUGUGCGAAGAAUGAGGAAUGUGGCUUUAAAAUGUAAGUGAAAAAGAGGCAAUCACCAACUCCAGGGAAAGCAAAAAGCUGCCCGAGUCAGCAGCUACACCUGUAACACAUCAGUUAAUGGUUAAUAUUUAUGUUAUCAACUUGACAGGAUCUGUUAUCACCCAGGACAUAAGCCUCUGUGCACACCUGUAAAGUGUUAUCUAUAUUAACUACUGGGCAUGCCAUGAGGGAGUUUCUUGAUUAGGCUUAACUGAGGUGGGAAGUCCUACCCUAAAUGCGGGUGACACCAUUCCCAGGGCUGCAGUCCUGGACUUGAGACAGGGAGAAAGGGAGCUGAGCACAUAGCAUCCAUUUCUUUGCUUCCUGACUGAGGGUGCAACGUCACCAGGUCCUUCAUGCUCCUGCUGCCACGACUCCCUCACUGCGGUGGUGGGAACCUUAAACUGCGAGCCAAGGCAACCCUUCCUCCUUUAAGUUGCUCUGGUCAGGAGUUUCCCCACAGUGAUAGGAAAGGAAACCAAGAGACUUUGCUUAGCUGUUGACAACAUGCAGGUGGAUCAGAUAGAAGCGGACUCGGCUGAGUUAGCAGUUGUGAUGGGAUUGCAUCAGGAAGUGUGUGUCUGCGUGUGGAGGCUGCUGUGGAACUAACAAUCUUCCGUAAAAGGAGGCCAACAAAUAAUAUGCGAAAUCAGAAAAGGAUGAUAUUUAGAAAUAUGAAAGUAAAUGUCAGGGGCAGCGGUGAGAGGACUUGAAGUCAUCUCCUCCAAGGAGAG